GGUUUUCGUUAGAAAACAGGCGCCAGUGGCAUUCAAUGUCGCUCUCGGGCGGUGCAUUUCUUCACUUCCGUGCUAAAGCCAUGACUAGUUGGAAAGCUGAAGCGUCCGUAUGCGAGAGUUGCAGGCAGGUAACUAGAUACGUCUCCGUACGUAUGCUAGAGUUAUAGCCGGAAGCUCGGUUAUGCUGCUUAAGUUAACCGACUAGUGAAAGUUCUCCGUCUAUGCGGAGUAUGCAAGUAGAGCGGGCAGUCAGUUUCGUUGUCGAGACAAGUGUUGAUUUUGUGGGCAUUUUUGUGUUUGCACGAAAAAACUGCAUUACCAAUCUGUCUAUGCGGGCAGCGAUAUCUGUCUGUUCGUGAACAAUCGA
rnacentral:rRNA from 1 species